rnacentral:rRNA from 1 species
UACGUAGGGAGCAAGCGUUAUCCGGAUUUAUUGGGUGUAAAGGGUGCGUAGACGGGAAAGCAAGUUAGUUGUGAAAUACCUUGGCUCAACUGAGGAACUGCAACUAAAACUAUUUUUCUUGAGUGCAGGAGGGGAAAGUGGAAUUCCUAGUGUAGCGGUGAAAUGCGUAGAUAUUAGGAAGAACACCAGUGGCGAAGGCGACUUUCUGGACUGUAACUGACGUUGAGGCACGAAAGUGUGGGGAGCAAAC